rnacentral:lncRNA from 1 species
GUGAUAUUUUCAUGUUAAAAUAAAAUGUUUUUUUGUAUUUUCUCCAAGUUAUUUUUAUAUGUAAAGUUAAAAUUAGAUAUGAGAAUGUUUUGCGUAGGGGCAACACAGUCUGCUGCUAUAUAGUGGGUGAAGCGUGCACUUAUUUCUUAACAUGGGUUUUUAACUUCAAGAUCUGCCCCAGUACUUUACCAAAGGUAGCAAAAUAAUAGUGAAGAUGGAAUAUGUCUGCUACAAAUGCUUAUUUUUAUUGUUGCUGUUUUCAGUGUGUACAUAAACUAAAAAUUAGGGUUGAUUUUGUUGCUCUCCAUUUUGACUUGCAAGAAAUAAUACCUCAAGAUAAUCUGAUUUAUUAGCUAUUUUUAAACAUUUUUAAUCACAAGCUGUAUUAGCUUUGCUGCUAUAUAGGUGUUAUGUGUAAAUGUCACCUAUUAAUACGGGAUUGAAAACGUUAGAGACACACUGCAUUGCGGAUGAAAUGCAGGCAGCACAAUAUGGCCGGAACUGCCAUAGUUUAGAAUGUGAAACAAUGCAUGUUUACUUACCUGUGUCCACCAUAUGCAUGCACUCGGACAUUAACUAACGAGGUGAGGUAUUGCAGAUGUUCAAAAAGCUCUCUUGAAUCUAGGUAGCAUGAACAAAUUAGAAAAUUUGUUUCUUUACAAAAAAGCAAACUUGCAUGCAUUAUUGUGACUUCAAGUUAAAAAUGUUGUCCUACAUGUGUACAAUAUGCAAAUUAGUUUUAGAUUAGAGAGUGCAGCCAUUUUGUGAUCUGGUCAGUAGUGGAAUUCGAUUUUAUGCAGACUGGAUGUAAUAUUUGUAAUCCCUGUGCAAUUUUGUGAUGUGCGGUUCUAAUUCAUGUGCAGUGAUAUAGUAUAGAUAAAAGAUUGAAUAAAAGAAAAACACAGGAAUUUUAAAGAAAGUUGAUUUUAGCCCCUUUGAUAGUUCAUGGUUAAGACAUCCUUUAAAAACCAAAGAUGGCCAGCACACUGCUAACCAGUCACCGAAUGUGAGACCCAUGAAAAGACCAUACUUUAAAAGAGGAUUUUAUAGAAGAACACAGAACUUUAGUGAAGUCAAAAUGGAGAUGGGAAAAUAUAAUAGAUGGCUAGUUGCAUAAAAUUUACCUUUGAUGGUGAAAUCUGGCUUAAAUUUGCUUACAUGUUUGACCUAUGUCUAUGGGGUCUUCUGUCUAAACUGGGGUCACUGUUGCAUGGAGCAUUGUUAUUCUUAAUGGUUAAGAAUUGCUUUUUUAAAACUUUGAUGAAGGAAUUUCAGUAAUGACUUUGCUUGCAUCUUUUCUUUUUUCUUUAUUGAGGGAGUUGCGUGGAAACAUGCACGGUUCUGACCUAGAACAUCGUUCGUUCGUGGUGGUUUUCCUCUUUAGAGCAUCCUAACAGCAGCUAGCCGCUGUGUUAAUAAUGUAGGAGUUACCCUGCAGUCUAAGCAAAGCACCCCACAUGGUAAAUGUUGGUUUUUGUUGUUGUUGUUAUUGUUGUUUAUUUUUUUAAAUGCAGAACUAAGAUUUUUGACUCUAAAGAGAGAAAAUUGCAAGGGUAUGGCCCGUGCAGCAAACCCUUGGGACAAUCCUUCACAUGAGCAAAGUACUGAUCUCAACAUUGGUUGUCGAUGGUAUGCUUUUUUGUACUGUAAAAAUGCGUGGUUCAUGUCUAACUCUGCUGUUUUAUUGUGGUUGUGGCUCAAGUUUUUAGUGUUUGACGUUGAUGCUGUUUUCAGAGGAGCUCUUUACUAAUUUAUUUGUCCGUAUCCCAACCUCUUCCUCCCCGUGGCCCUCCAGAGUUUCUGGAGCAUUCUUUUCACCCUCGCCCUGCCAACCCUUGAUCCAUUUUGACAUUUGUUGUGCACUAUUUUUAUAUCUCUGUGAGCGAUUUUUCCAGCAGUCAGCUAUUUUAUGGCAUACUUUUUUUCACUGAUGACAUCUCCUUUGCUAUACCUCAAUUUUUGGAAUUUAGAAAAGAAAUCAGUAGUUUUGCAAUGUUAAUUAUUUAGAUAUUUAAUUUCGCAGAUUUUUAAACUUUAUUUUCAUAAUUUCUGCUUAAUGUUUAAAAUUGAAGAGCCUUUUCAUGUAUUAAAUAAUGAACUCUAAAAUAAAUUAUAUAAUAAAAUAAUUGGAGAUGCUGAAAAUUAUUUUCCCUUCUUAAACGGAAGUAAAUAUUUGAAAUGAAGGGGAAAUGAAAGAGAAACACCUUCUCCUACCAGGGUGAACGUGACAGAAAUGCUGGUUUGUGUCACCUUCGUUCCUGUUAGGACAAAGCUCAUUGGUCUAAUACUGUGUCCCUCCCUGCCUCUCCCCUACCUCUGAUUUGUUUUGUUUUCUGUUUGUUUGGGGAUUAUUUUUCCUUUUAUGUACUACAUUUUUAUUUUCUAACCGUUAAACACUGUAUUUGAGUUUUUUUAAUUUACAGAUCAUAUUUAUUUUACUAUUUUUGUAGAAAAUUAUUAAUUUUGAUUGUAUUUUUGUAUUUUCAAAGCUUCUUCAUUU